rnacentral:ribozyme from 13 species
UCUUCUCUUCUUCUCUUUCUCUCUCUCUUCUUUUCUCUCAAAACAAAAAAAAAAAGAAGAAAAAAAAUGGCAAUGGCAAUAAGAGGAGGGAGAAUUAAAAUGUAUUUUGAUCCGAUUUCGCCUUUUGCUUAUUUUGCUCAAUUUAAAGUGAAAGAGAAAGUUCUUCCUAUUGUGAGAGAGAAUUCUUCUUCUCUUUCUUUUGAGUAUAAACCUGUUUUG